rnacentral:rRNA from 1 species
UACGGGGGGGGCAAGCGUUGUUCGGAAUUACUGGGCGUAAAGGGCUCGUAGGCGGCCAACUAAGUCAGACGUGAAAUCCCUCGGCUUAACCGGGGAACUGCGUCUGAUACUGGAUGGCUAGAGGUUGGGAGAGGGAUGCGGAAUUCCAGGCGUAGCGGUGAAAUGCGCAGAUAUCAGGAGGAACACCGGUGGCGAAGGCGGGUCUCUGGGCCGUAACUGACGCUGAGGAGCGAAAGCAUGGGGAGCGAACAGG